GAUGAACGCUGGCGGCGUGCCUAAUACAUGCAAGUCGAGCGAACGGACGAGAAGCUUGCUUCCCUGAUGUUAGCGGCGGACGGGUGAGUAACACGUGGAUAACCUACCUAUAAGACUGGGAUAACUUCGGGAAACCGGAUCUAAUACCGGAUCAUAUUUUGAACCGCAUGGUUCAAAAGUGAAAGACGGUCUUGCUGUCACUUAUAGAUGGUUCCGCGCUGCAUUAGCUAGUUGGUAAGGUAACGGCUUACCAAGGCUACGAUGCAUAGCCGACCUGAGAGGGUGAUCGGCCACACUGGAACUGAGACACGGUCCAGACUCCUACGGGAGGCAGCAGUAGGGAAUCUUCCGCAAUGGGCGCAAGCCUGACGGAGCAACGCCGCGUGAGUGAUGAAGGUCUUCGGAUCGUAAAACUCUGUUGUUAGGGAAGAACAUAUGUGUAAGAAACUGUGCACAUCUUGACGGUACCUAAUCAAAAAGCCACGGCUAACUACGUG
rnacentral:rRNA from 1 species